rnacentral:rRNA from 1 species
ACUCAAAUGAAUUGACGGGGGCCCGCACAAGCGGCGGAGCAUGUGGAUUAAUUCGAUGCAACGCGAAGAACCUUACCUGGGUUUGACAUGCACAGGAUUGCGGCAGAGAUGUCGUUUCCCUUGUGGCCUGUGUGCAGGUGGUGCAUGGCUGUCGUCAGCUCGUGUCGUGAGAUGUUGGGUUAAGUCCCGCAACGAGCGCAACCCUUGUUCCAUGUUGCCAGCACGUCGUGGUGGGGACUCAUGGGAGACUGCCGGGGUCAACUCGGAGGAAGGUGGGGAUGACGUCAAGUCAUCAUGCCCCUUAUGUCCAGGGCUUCACACAUGCUACAAUGGCUCAUACAGAGGGCUGCGAGACCGUGAGGUGGAGCGAAUCCCUUAAAGUGAGUCUCAGUUCGGAUCGGGGUCUGCAACUCGACCCCGUGAAGUUGGAGUCGCUAGUAAUCGCAGAUCAGCAUUGCUGCGGUGAAUACGUUCCCGGGCCUUGUACACACCGCCCGU